rnacentral:tRNA from 1 species
CGACGGACUGGGCGGCCGGCAGCAACGCCGGGUCGUUCGCGGCGACCUGGUCACGCAGCGCGCACAGGCCGGCCCCCGGUUCGGUGCCGAACUCCUCGA